AAAGACAUGGGUGAAAAAAAUACUUCAGCCGGCCGCGAAAGCCAGGCCUUCAUAUUUUGUUGUGUAAUGAUCCUUUCCGUAGGGUGACCUGCGGAGGGAUCAUUACACAACAAAAUAUGAAGGCCUGGCUUUCGCGGCCGGCUGAAGUAUUUUUUUCACCCAUGUCUUUUGCGCACUUGUUGUUUCCUGGGCGGGUUCGCCCGCCACCAGGACCAAACCAUAAACCUUUUUUUCUUAUGCAGUUUCCAUCAGCGUCAGUAAAAACAAUGUAAUUAUUACAACUUUCAACAACGGAUCUCUUGGUUCUGGCAUCGAUGAAGAACGCAGCGAAAUGCGAUACGUAGUGUGAAUUGCAGAAUUCAGUGAAUCAUCGAAUCUUUGAACGCACAUUGCGCCCUUUGGUAUUCCAAAGGGCAUGCCUGUUCGAGCGUCAUUUGUACCUUCAAGCUUUGCUUGGUGUUGGGCGUUUUUUUGUCUCCCUCUUUCUGGGAGACUCGCCUUAAAACGAUUGGCAGCCGGCCUACUGGUUUCGGAGCGCAGCACAUUUUUUGCGCUUUGUAUCAGGAGAAAAGGACGGUACUCCAUCAAGACUCUACAUUUUUCACUUUUGACCUCGGAUCAGGUAGGGAUACCCGCUGAACUUAAGCAUAUCAAUAAGGCGGAGGAAA
rnacentral:rRNA from 1 species